rnacentral:rRNA from 1 species
UACGGAGGAUCCGAGCGUUAUCCGGAUUUAUUGGGUUUAAAGGGUGCGUAGGCGGCCUAUUAAGUCAGGGGUGAAAGACGGUAGCUCAACUAUCGCAGUGCCUUUGAUACUGAUGGGCUUGAAUACACUUGAGGUAGGCGGAAUGUGACAAGUAGCGGUGAAAUGCAUAGAUAUGUCACAGAACACCAAUUGCGAAGGCAGCUUACUAAAGUGUGAUUGACGCUGAGGCACGAAAGCGUGGGGAUCAAACAGG